rnacentral:rRNA from 1 species
CCUACGGGAGGCUGCAGUGGGGAAUAUUGGACAAUGGGCGAAAGCCUGAUCCAGCCAUGCCGCGUGUGUGAAGAAGGCCUUCGGGUUGUAAAGCACUUUCAGUGGGGAAGAAAGCCUUGGGGCUAAUACCCUCGAGGAAGGACAUCACCCACAGAAGAAGCACCGGCUAACUCCGUGCCAGCAGCCGCGGUAAUACGGAGGGUGCGAGCGUUAAUCGGAAUUACUGGGCGUAAAGCGCGCGUAGGCGGUCUGAUAAGCCGGUUGUGAAAGCCCCGGGCUCAACCUGGGAACGGCAUCCGGAACUGUCAGGCUAGAGUGCAGGAGAGGAAGGUAGAAGUCCCGGUGUAGCGGUGAAAUGCGUAGAGAUCGGGAGGAAUACCAGUGGCGAAGGCGGCCUUCUGGACUGACACUGACGCUGAGGUGCGAAAGCGUGGGUAGCAAACAGGAUUAGAUACCCUAGUAGUC